rnacentral:rRNA from 1 species
CCUGGGAAACUGGGUCUAAUACCGGAUAGGACCGUGCUUUAGUGUGUGCGGUGGAAAGUUUUUCGGUGCAGGAUGAGCCCGCGGCCUAUCAGCUUGUUGGUGGGGUAAUGGCCUACCAAGGCGGCGACGGGUAGCCGGCCUGAGAGGGUGUACGGCCACAUUGGGACUGAGACACGGCCCAGACUCCUACGGGAGGCAGCAGUGGGGAAUAUUGCACAAUGGGCGCAAGCCUGAUGCAGCGACGCCGCGUGGGGGAUGACGGCCUUCGGGUUGUAAACCCCUUUCGGCAGGGACGAAGCUUUUGUGACGGUACCUGCAUAAGAAGCACCGGCUAAUUACGUGCCAGCAGCCGCGGUAAUACGUAGGGUGCGAGCGUUGUCCGGAAUUACUGGGCGUAAAGAGCUCGUAGGUGGUUUGUCGCGUCGUCUGUGAAAUCCCGGGGCUUAACUCCGGGCGUGCAGGCGAUACGGGCAUAACUUGAGUGCUGUAGGGGAGACUGGAAUUCCUGGUGUAGCGGUGAAAUGCGCAGAUAUCAGGAGGAACACCGAUGGCGAAGGCAGGUCUCUGGGCAGUAACUGACGCUGAGGAGCGAAAGCAUGGGUAGCGAACAGGAUUAGAUACCCUGGUAGUCCAUGCCGUAAACGGUGGGCGCUAGGUGUGGGGAUCUUCCACGAUUUCCGUGCCGUAGCUAACGCAUUAAGCGCCCCGCCUGGGGAGUACGGCCGCAAGGCUAAAACUCAAAGGAAUUGACGGGGGCCCGCACAAGCGGCGGAGCAUGUGGAUUAAUUCGAUGCAACGCGAAGAACCUUACCUGGGCUUGACAUGGGCAGGGACCGGCGUGGAGACACGUCUUCCCUUUUGGGCUUGUUCACAGGUGGGUGCAUGGUUGUCGUCAGCUCGUGUCGUGAGAUGUUGGGUUAAGUCCCCGCAACGAGCGCAACCCUUGUCUUGUGUUGCCAGCACGUAAUGGUGGGGACUCGCGAGAGACUGCCGGGGUUAACUCGGAGGAAGGUGGGGAUGACGUCAAAUCAUCAUGCCCCUUAUGUCCAGGGCUUCACACAUGCUACAAUGGUCGGUACAGUGGGUUGCGAUGCCGCGAGGCUCAGCUAAUCCCUUAAAGCCGGUCUCAGUUCGGAUUGGAGUCUGCAACUCGACUCCAUGAAGUCGGAGUCGCUAGUAAUCGCAGAUCAGCAACGCUGC